rnacentral:rRNA from 1 species
UACAGAGGGGCAAGCGUUGUUCGGAAUUAAUGGGCGUAAAGGGCGCGUAGGCGGCCUUCUAAGUCGAACGUGAAAUCCCCGGGCUCAACCCGGGAACUGCGUCCGAUACUGGAAGGCUUGAAUCCGGGAGAGGGAUGCGGAAUUCCAGGUGUAGCGGUGAAAUGCGUAGAUAUCUGGAGGAACACCGGUGGCGAAGGCGGCAUCCUGGACCGGUAUUGACGCUGAGGCGCGAAAGCCAGGGGAGCAAACGGG